GCCCUUAGAGUUUGAUCCUGCCUCGGAACGAACGCUGGCGGCAGGCCUAACCCCUGCAAGUCGAGCGCACCCUUCGGGGCGAGCGGCGGNCGGGUUAGUCACGNGGGGGAACAUACCCUUNUCUNCGGAAUAGCCUCGGGAACCUCAGAUUAAUNCCGUAUNCNCCCUUNGGGGGAAAGAUUUUUUGGAGAUGGAUUGGCCCGNGUAAGAUUAGAUAGCUGGUGGGGUAAUGGCCUNCCACGUGUNCGAUCGUUACCUGGUCUUAGAGGANGAUCAGCAACCNUGGUCCUGAGACACGGCCCAGACUCNUACGGGAGGCAGCAGNGGCGAAUCUUAGCCAAUGGGCGCAAGCNUGAUCUAGCCAUGCCGCGUGUGUGAUGAAGGCCUUAGGGUCGUAAAGCACUUUCGCCAGGGANGANAAUGACAGUACNNGGNNAAGAANCCCCGGCUAACUCCGUGCCAGCAGCCGCGGUAAUAAGGGCG
rnacentral:rRNA from 1 species